rnacentral:rRNA from 1 species
ACGAACGCUGGCGGCGCGCCUAACACAUGCAAGUCGAACGAGCGAGAGAGAGCUUGCUUUCUCGAGCGAGUGGCGAACGGGUGAGUAAAGCGUGAGGAACCUGCCUCAAAGAGGGGGACAACAGUUGGAAACGACUGCUAAUACCGCAUAAGCCCACAGGUCGGCAUCGACCAGAGGGAAAAGGAGCAAUCCGCUUUGAGAUGGCCUCGCGUCCGAUUAGCUAGUUGGUGAGGUAAUGGCCCACCAAGGCAACGAUCGGUAGCCGGACUGAGAGGUUGAACGGCCACAUUGGGACUGAGACACGGCCCAGACUCCUACGGGAGGCAGCAGUGGGGAAUAUUGCACAAUGGGGGAAACCCUGAUGCAGCGACGCCGCGUGGAGGAAGAAGGUCUUCGGAUUGUAAACUCCUGUUGUUGAGGAAGAUAAUGACGGUACUCAACAAGGAAGUGACGGCUAACUACGUGCCAGCAGCCGCGGUAAAACGUAGGUCACAAGCGUUGUCCGGAAUUACUGGGUGUAAAGGGAGCGCAGGCGGGAAGACAAGUUGGAAGUGAAAUCUAUGGGCUCAACCCAUAAACUGCUUUCAAAACUGUUUUUUCUUGAGUAGUGCAGAGGUAGUCGGAAUUCCCGGUGUAGCGGUGGAAUGCGUAGAUAUCGGGAGGAACACCAGUGGCGAAGGCGGCCUACUGGGCACCAACUGACGCUGAGGCUCGAAAGUGUGGGUAGCAAACAGGAUUAGAUACCCUGGUAGUCCACACGGUAAACGAUGAAUACUCGCUGUUUGCGAUAUACGGCAAGCGGCCAAGCGAAAGCGUUAAGUAUUCCACCUGGGGAGUACGCCGGCAACGGUGAAACUCAAAGGAAUUGACGGGGGCCCGCACAAGCAGUGGAGUAUGUGGUUUAAUUCGACGCAACGCGAAGAACCUUACCAAGUCUUGACAUCCUGCGACGAUGCUGGAAACAGUAUUUUCCUUCGGGACGCAGAGACAGGUGGUGCAUGGUUGUCGUCAGCUCGUGUCGUGAGAUGUUGGGUUAAGUCCCGCAACGAGCGCAACCCUUACUGUCAGUUACUACGCAAGAGGACUCUGGCAGGACUGCCGUUGACAAAACGGAGGAAGGUGGGGAUGACGUCAAAUCAUCAUGCCCUUUAUGACUUGGGCUACACACGUACUACAAUGGCGUUAAACAAAGAGAAGCAAGACCGCGAGGUGGAGCAAAACUCAGAAACAACGUCCCAGUUCGGACUGCAGGCUGCAACUCGCCUGCAUGAAGUCGGAAUUGCUAGUAAUCGUGGAUCGGCAUGCCACGGUGAAUACGUUCCCGGGCCUUGUACACACCGCCCGUCACACCAUGGGAGUUGGGAAUGCCCGAAGCCAGUGACCUAACCGAAAGGAAGGAGCUGUCGAAGGCAGGCUCGAUAACUGGGGUG